UGAGGAACAUGACUUUCGGUGGGGGAGUAGCCGGCCCAACGGCCGGGUAAUACCGCGUACGACCUUUUGGGGACAUCCCCGAGGGGUGAAAGCAGCAAUGCGCCGAAAGAGUGCCUCGCGGCCUAUCAGCUAGUUGGUGGGGUAAUGGCUCACCAAGGCGACGACGGGUAGCUGGUCUGAGAGGAUGGCCAGCCACACUGGGACUGAGACACGGCCCAGACUCCUACGGGAGCAG
rnacentral:rRNA from 1 species